rnacentral:rRNA from 1 species
AUUGAACGCUGGCGGCAUGCCUUACACAUGCAAGUCGAACGGCAGCGCGGAAUGGGGUAACCCGGCCUGGCGGCGAGUGGCGAACGGGUGAGUAAUAUAUCGGAACGUACCCUAGAGUGGGGGAUAACGUAGCGAAAGUUACGCUAAUACCGCAUACGAUCUAAGGAUGAAAGUGGGGGAUCGCAAGACCUCAUGCUCGUGGAGCGGCCGAUAUCUGAUUAGCUAGUUGGUAGGGUAAAGCCUACCAAGGCAUCGAUCAGUAGCUGGUCUGAGAGGACGACCAGCCACACUGGAACUGAGACACGGUCCAGACUCCUACGGGAGGCAGCAGUGGGGAAUUUUGGACAAUGGGCGCAAGCCUGAUCCAGCAAUGCCGCGUGAGUGA